GGUUGUGGCUCAGCGGUAGAGCACUUGCCUCACAAGUGUGAGGCACUGGGUUCAAUCCUCAGUACCACCU
rnacentral:tRNA from 1 species